UAUUGUCUGUCCCCUGAGCUUCGCUGGAACGUCACGUGACCAAUGACCCUGCACAGAACCAAAACAAUAUGAAGGACAUGAACGACUUAAUUUUCUUCGGCGACGAUUUUGAUGCCAUAUUAGAAACUUUGGAAAACGAGGAAGAAUACAAGAGCCCUUUGUCGAAGCAGCUGACUCUGUUCAAUACGAAGAGGGAAUUGUUUGCUAGUUGUGCCAAAAGAAAUGCAAGACUAAGGCUGGAUUAAAAAGACAUAAGACAAUAAAGCAUAAGGAGGAACAAGCGCGGGGAAAUCAACCGACUCAAGAAGCCAAAUUCACUGCUGAAGACUUCGAAGCGUUAUCAAUCAAAGCACGAGAU